rnacentral:misc_RNA from 1 species
AAAAAAAAAAAGCAAGAAAAAAAAGGUAAAAUUGUCUAUCUUUUUUCUUUUUCUUGGGUUGGAAAUUAUUGAAUCUAAAAUCUAAGAAUACUCGCCGUAGAACUCAGGAAUCCCAGAAGCAGCCCAUAGCCUCUCAUUGAAAGCCGCCUGCAUAUCUUCAGGAAUCACGGGUGUACGGCAAAGUGGGCAAGUUUUCUGGUCGUAACCGACCCAUCGGUCCAAGCAGGUCCGGUGGAAGAUAUGGCGGCAGUUGGUGAGGCAUCUGAUCUCAUCUUGUUCUUCAAAGUCGUAGAGACAGACAGCGCAGCUGUCAGGUGGGUCGACAAGGUCAGUGAACUUGACAACGGGGAGGAUCUCGCGUAUGAGGACGGCAGAGACGGAGUAGAACUCAGGGAUCCGUGGAGGUGUUUCGGGCCAAGAAAUGUCAGGUUCAAGGAAAUCAGGGAGACCCAGAUAGCGAAAGAGAGUGCUUAUGAGCUUGCGAAUGAAACCCAGAAAAGAAAGAGUGUGGAUUAGUAUUUUAGGGAGAAGAAGCUCUGAGUAGCCUACAGGGAAGCCCAUGGAGUAGAGAGAGGUAUUGUGUAAUGGCAGUGCUAUGAUGUUGGUGUGGCUUGUUUGUGUUGUUACUGUUGCAGAAACAGAAAGAGAAGGGUGGGUUAUAUAGAGGGUUGAGAGAGAGUAAAAUGACAGUAAGGGGUCUCAGAACAUAACAGAUGCCAAAAGUGAUCAUAGCCAAAUUUUACUGCUGUCUUAUUCAUCUGCUUUUACAGGUUUUUA